rnacentral:sRNA from 1 species
GUCGUGAGAUGUUGGGUUAAGUCCCGCAACGAGCGCAACCCUUGUCCCUAGUUGCUACGCAAGGGCACUCUAGGGAGACUGCCGGUGACAAACCGGAGGAAGGUGGGGAUGACGUCAAGUCCUCAUGGCCCUUAUGGGUAGGGCCUCACACGUCAUACAAUGGCCGGUACAGAGGGUUGCCAAACCGCGAGGUGGAGCCAAUCCCAGAAAGCCGGUCGUAGUCCGGAUUGCAGUCUGCAACUCGACUGCAUGAAGUCGGAAUCGCUAGUAAUCGCGGAUCAGCAUGUCGCGGUGAAUACGUUCCCGGGUCUUGUACACACCGCCCGUCACACCAUGGGAGCGGGGUGCACCAGAAGUAGGUAGGCUAACCGCAAGGGGGCCGUUUACCACGGUGCGCUUCGUGACUGGGGUGAAGUCGUAACAAGGUAGCCGUAUCGGAAGGUGCGGCUGGAUCACCUCCUUUCCGGAAAAACGCUCAAGCGCCUUGGGUGCCCACACUUAUCGGUUGUAACGCGCGUGGCGCUCUUCGCAACGCUUUAACGGGCCUGUAGCUCAGUUGGUUAGAGCACCGUCUUGAUAAGGCGGGGGUCGAUGGUUCGAAUCCAUCCAGACCCACCACUUCCCCGCGCGCGAGCGCGCGGGGACAGUCGGAGCAAAGAGGCAAGGCCGGGCCGGGGCUGUAGCUCAGUUGGGAGAGCACCUGCUUUGCAAGCAGGGGGUCGUCGGUUCGAUCCCGAUCAGCUCCACCAACGAUGGUGGCUUUGGGCGAAGGGCGAGGCGCGGAAAAAACCAAGGGAAGACCAGAAGCUAAGGGCGAGGGCGCAAUCGCCGCGGGUUUAGCUUCCGGCCUUUUAGGCUUUGGAAGUAUCGGUUGUUCUUUAACAAUUGGGCAGAAGUAAAGGUCUUGCUUGGCUUGAAGGGGCCUCGAGCAUGGCGUAAAGCCAUGGGCGGGUCCGACACAAGCUCGAGCGAGAUGGGUUGAUUGUGUAUGAGGUCCGGGCCAUUCCCGCCGAGGGAAGGGCACGGGCUAACGCAAACACCCGUGAUGCGGCGCGGCUCGGUUUUUAGGAGUGCGCAGUGUUAUGGGGUCAAGCGACUAAGUGCAUGUGGUGGAUGCCUUGGCGAUCACAGGCGAUGAAGGACGUGGCAGCCUGCGAAAAGCUGCGGGGAGCUGGCAAACGAGCAUUGAUCCGCAGAUGU